rnacentral:rRNA from 1 species
GAUGAACGCUGGCGGCGUGCCUAAUACAUGCAAGUCGAGCGAACGGACGAGAAGCUUGCUUCUCUGAUGUUAGCGGCGGACGGGUGAGUAACACGUGGAUAACCUACCUAUAAGGCUGGGAUAACUUCGGGAAACCGGAGCUAAUACCGGAUAAUAUUUUGAACCGCAUGGUUCAAAAGUGAAAGACGGUCUUGCCGUCACUUAUAGAUGGAUCCGCGCUGCAUUAGCUAGUUGGUAAGGUAACGGCUUACCAAGGCAACGAUGCAUAGCCGACCUGAGAGGGUGAUCGGCCACACUGGAACUGAGACACGGUCCAGACUCCUACGGGAGGCAGCAGUAGGGAAUCUUCCGCAAUGGGCGAAAGCCUGACGGAGCAACGCCGCGUGAGUGAUGAAGGUCUUCGGAUUGUAAAACUCUGUUAUUAGGGAAGAACAUAUGUGUAAGUAACUGUGCACAUCUUGACGGUACCUAAUCAGAAAGCCACGGCUAACUACGUGCCAGCAGCCGCGGUAAUACGUAGGUGGCAAGCGUUAUCCGGAAUUAUUGGGCGUAAAGCGCGCGUAGGCGGUUUUUUAAGUCUGAUGUGAAAGCCCACGGCUCAACCGUGGAGGGUCAUUGGAAACUGGAAAACUUGAGUGCAGAAGAGGAAAGUGGAAUUCCAUGUGUAGCGGUGAAAUGCGCAGAGAUAUGGAGGAACACCAGUGGCGAAGGCGACUUUCUGGUCUGUAACUGACGCUGAUGUGCGAAAGCGUGGGGAUCAAACAGGAUUAGAUACCCUGGUAGUCCACGCCGUAAACGAUGAGUGCUAAGUGUUAGGGGGUUUCCGCCCCUUAGUGCUGCAGCUAACGCAUUAAGCACUCCGCCUGGGGAGUACGACCGCAAGGUUGAAACUCAAAGGAAUUGACGGGGACCCGCACAAGCGGUGGAGCAUGUGGUUUAAUUCGAAGCAACGCGAAGAACCUUACCAAAUCUUGACAUCCUUUGACAACUCUAGAGAUAGAGCUUUCCCCUUCGGGGGACAAAGUGACAGGUGGUGCAUGGUUGUCGUCAGCUCGUGUCGUGAGAUGUUGGGUUAAGUCCCGCAACGAGCGCAACCCUUAAGCUUAGUUGCCAUCAUUAAGUUGGGCACUCUAAGUUGACUGCCGGUGACAAACCGGAGGAAGGUGGGGAUGACGUCAAAUCAUCAUGCCCCUUAUGAUUUGGGCUACACACGUGCUACAAUGGACAAUACAAAGGGCAGCGAAACCGUGAGGUCAAGCAAAUCCCAUAAAGUUGUUCUCAGUUCGGAUUGUAGUCUGCAACUCGACUACAUGAAGCUGGAAUCGCUAGUAAUCGUAGAUCAGCAUGCUACGGUGAAUACGUUCCCGGGUCU